AUGAGACUCAGAAAGGGGAAAUUCUCGCGUUUAAAGUCCAGCAGGUGGAAGGUCAGGGCUGGGACACCUGGGUCCCUCGGCAGUGUCUGGAGACAUGAUGGGGACCGGAGGGAGCCUCGGGGCCUGGGGGAGCCUGGUGCUGCUGGUGAGUGCUCCCAAACAGGGGUGGGGAGCUGGGGUCCUGAGGGAGUAGGAGCUUCCCAGAGAAGGAAACAGGCUUCCGGCUUGUCAGUGAGCCUCACACCUAGGUUCUCAGAUACUGCCGUCCACUGUGAGAGUGAACUGUGCUUUCUGGCAAGACUCAGGCGUGCCCUCGAAGACCCAGGAGUCUGGGCCCCAGGCCUCCUCCCUCAGACCCAGGAGUCCGGGCCCCAGACCCUCCUCCCUCAGACCCAGGGGUCCCAGCCCCAGGCCCUCCUCCCUCAGACCAGGAGUCCAGACCCCCAGCCCCUCCUCCUCAGACCCAGGAGUCCCGGCCCCAGGCCUCCUCCCUCAGACCCAGGAGUCCAGACCCCCAGCCCCCUCCUCCCUCAGAUCCUGGAGUUCUGCCCCCAGCCCCUCCUCCCUCAGACCCAGGAGUCCAGACUCCAGCCCCUCCUCCCUCAGACCCAGGAAUCAGGCCCCCGCCCCCUCCUCCCUCAGACCCUGUGGUCCAGGCUCCCAGUGCCCUCCUCCCUCAAGACACAGGAGUCCAGACUCCAGCCCCUCCUCCCUCAGACCCAGGAGUCCUGGCCCCCGGCCCCUCCUCCCUCAGACCCAGGAGUCCAGACUCCAGCCCCUCCUCCCUCAGACCCGGGAGUCCAGACCCCCAGCCCCUCCUCCCUCAGGCCCAGGAGUCUUGGCUCCAGGUCCUCCUCCCUCAGACCCAGGAGUCCUGCCCCCAGUCCAUUCCUCCCUCAGAUCCUGGAGUUCUGCCCCCAACCCACUCCUCCCUCAGAUCCUGGAGUUCUGCCCCCAGCCCCCUCCUCCCUCAGAUCCUGGAGUUCUGUCCCCAGCCCCUCCUCCCUCAGACCCAGAGGUCCAGGCUCCCAGUGCCCUCCUCCCUCAGACCCAGGAGUCCCGGCCCCAGCCCCUCUUCCCUCAGACCCAGGAGUCCCGGCCCCAGCCCCUCUUCCCUCAGACCCAGGAGUCCAGGCCUCCGGCCCCUCCUCCCUCAGACCCAGGAGUCCAGACCCCCAGCCCCUCCUCCCUCAGACCCAGGAAUCAGGCCCCCAGCCCCCUCCUCCCUCAGACCCAGGGGUCCAGGCCCCCGGCCCCUCCUCCCUCAGACCAGGUGUCUGGCUCCUGGUCCCCAACCUCAGUAUCUUCCCCCAUUACCACUUUGCUGAUUAA
rnacentral:lncRNA from 1 species